GGGGCCCAGCAGCGUCUGCUCCACGCUGACCAGCUCCGAGGUCGAGUCCACCACGCGGGCCAGCGCGCUGCGCAUCGCCAUCUGGGCCAGGGUGCAGGGCCCGUGACCCCGGGGGCUUACGCUGGCAUGGCCGCUCUGCGUGGAUGCAUCUAUCCGCAGGGAUACCCCGCCCCCAUCUCCUCUGAAGGAUGCCUACCGGUGACCGUUCACGCCUUGGGGACUGGGGAUGGGAUUGCACGGGUCAAAGACCCACCGGGAAUCGGAAAGUGUGAGUGCCAGAGAAAAGCUCACAAAACGAAAACUGUGCUUGAUCGUCCUCCCUCCGUUUCCCAACCGUAGGGGAAUUUUCAGGAGCUUCGUGGAGUAGCCUUCAAGGCUCCUGUCCCCCAUACAAAAGAAGGGGACUUGGGUAUCUUCACUGCUUUGCUCCAAGCCACAUGUGCUGAGAAGGCCCGACUGUUGAAGCUGAAGUUGCAUCAGGGCCCAGCUCUGCCUGUUCCUGAAGCAACUUGCGAAGCAAGGGCUUGGCACUGUCCGGAUGAGGAGGCUAAAUGAGUUUUUUUGUGAAACUCCCGAAGGACUUAGGCAGCAGAGUUUGAAGCUAAAUCCUUUUACGAGCCAUGAACCCAGGGACAGCUGUACAAAUAGUUGCUGCUUUUAAUUAAACC